GAAACUACUUGGGAAAACUGUGCGGGUAUUCCUGAGCAAAAGACGGACAAAGACUGUGGAUAUUAUGUAAUGAGAUAUAUGAAGGAAAUAGUGGAAGAUAAGAGCUUAGAUUUUUUCACCAAGUGGGAGAGAAGAGGCAAAGCAACAUAUACCCAGGAAGAUAUUGAUGUGGUCAGAAAUGAGUGGGCAAAGUUUAUGGUGAAGACAUAUAUGUAAGCAUUGCACUUGGUACUUAUGGAGCUAUAUCUUCUUUUUUAGUUCAGUUGAAACUUUGUUCUAUGGAUUUGGUUGGACAUGAGUUGAUGCUUGUACUUUGAAUUGAUAAUGUAAGAUUUGCGAGAAUGAUGUAUGAGAAUGAUGAAGUAAAUGACAACUUUGAAUUUCAUAUC